CUCAAACACACUACAGGACAGUACAUGAAGCCAACUUGAAUGAAAUCAGGCAUUAACAGAAACCCUGCACAUAUCCAGUUUAUUAAAAUGACAUCCCUCGCAAUGGACUGAAGAGGAGGUCGUCUGGUAACAAUUUUAUAGGGAAUUACCUCCAAGGAGCAAUUUCCUCUCUGGUUCUGGCUCUGCUGUUUAAUCCUGGGCCUGGUUCAAAUUCGCCACUACAGAACGAAGCUGUGAAAGCUCAACUGCUUUGCUUCGUAUGAACUGUGCUACUGAACUGCGUCAGUUCACAACACCCAGAGGAGUCACCAGCUCGUUUUAUGGCAUCGACAGGUGUGUCCGUGUCACUAUAGCAGUUAUACGGACAGAAGGCAUGUCAUGUGAUCGCAACGGAAUCGCAUAAGGUAGCUUUUGCCAAAAGAUUAACGAAAUAAAGACGAAACGAUGCAGGCGCUAAGGAAAGUGUGCUAAUUUCUGCAAGCCUAAAGCGUAACUCACUGGCAUCCAGAGAGGCUGGCAUGUAAUAAAGGAGAGCCGCGCCAGGAAUUAGUGACCAUUUUUUCUGGUAACUUGGCUCUUUCCAGCCCUACAACCCCACGGAAGCUUGCUGUUUAAUUGGUAGCUUAUUUAAACAUGGCUUCCCCCGGUUGCCUCCCCCUAGCCUGCACAGAGCUGUGUGGAUAGCCUGCAAGAAAUGCAAAGGAAGGAAGGAAGGGGAAAGGAUGAAAACAAAAUGGCAGCGAUUCGGCCAUUUUAGGGAGUUGCUUGGCACUCUUAAGUGACAACAUCUGUGGGGCAGAAACCUGUGAAACUCUCUCACUGCUUCUUUUAAUCCAUCGUGUUGGAUCUCAGAUGGAUUUUUCUGUUUGUUUUGUCCGGAUAAAAGGCGGCACUGUUAUGGCCAUCUGAGUGGAUGAGAUAAAUGACUUUUACUACUUUCCAGCUUCCAUAAUUUUAAAGAGAUGAAGGUGAAUGAAAACCAAUUAUAUUACAUCGUUUUUAUGCUGACAUGGUAUUUGGUAGUGAACAAUUUUUGUACCUAGUCUCAGUCCCCCCUAAUACAAUGUUGUUUUUUUAUCAGUGUGAAAGCCAUUCAGUUCUUUGAAAAAGAGCUCAGUGUUAACUGUGCCAACUAGAGUUUGAAGUACCAGCUGGGCAGUGCAGCCCAUGCCCCCCAGGGCAAUGCUUUGGCUGGGUGGGUUGGGCCGGCUCAGGCAGUGUUAUGGGAGACGAUGGUCAAACCAUGCAGAGGCCCCGCCGCUUUGCAUAAAUUAGCAUGUAAACCAUAGCCUCUGAAAGGCACCAGGGCAGUUCAUUAACAUUCUGAAUUCCUCUUUGGCCUAAUUAAGGCAGACAGUGAUUGAAAUGUUUUGGCAGGCCGCGAGGCUGUUUGUAGGAGUGUCAGGGCCUGCUCAGUGGGGCCGAAUGAGAAGGUAGUGGGGCAGGGAGGGAGUGGAGGCCUUAAUUGAGAUGUUGAAUUAAUUAGACUCCGAAUGGCAUCAGCCUCCCUUGACUGGCCACUGUACACAGACGAGACAGACUGAGGGGGACACUGAUUUCUAUUGACAAAAAAAUAAGUUCAUGGCAACGGUUGAAGGCUUAGAGCUGAAUCCUAACUUGAUUUCUGAAUGCGUUAUAAAGUUUGUUAGUUUGAGUUACUUUGAUCUUGAAGUUAAGAUUCAGCUUUUUGAGAAGGAGAGAUUCAUUCAGGAACCCUUUCUAUGAGGUCCAUACACAGCAUUAUACAUGUACACAUAAUGCACUAGGACAGAGUAAUAAUGCAGUAUAAGCAUAGUUAUAGACACACAUAAGGACUCCUAUAAACACAUCAUUCCUUAUACCAAUACUCCUAAUGCAUUAUGAGUAUAAUCAUUGCCAGUCACUUUUUCCUCAAGGACCACAUAGCAUUAUAAUGACCAUCGGUGUGAUGCAUUUCAAACGUUUUUGUCAAUGAGCAUAUUACUGCAUCAUCAUCUUUGUUAUGGUGUGUUGUAGCAUGCUUAUAAGCCACUAUAAAGUCAUCUUUGAUUGCUUUAGGUAAAGUGAUGAAACGCCUAAGGCAGACAGAUAUAAAACACCAUGAGUUGUUGCUAUACAAAUAUAAAGUGCACAGCAAAUUGGCCAGGGUUGAUUUUUCAGUUGAACAUUUCUAGUGUUGAUUCAGGACUUCAAUUGACUCCGAAAUUAACACCCAGUGGUGUAAACCCCAGUGUUGGUGUUAAUAACCAGAGUUGCUGCACCGACUGCUGUUCACGAGGUGAAACAGCUAAAGCAGCUUCUGGACUGAGAGAGAGAAGAAGGUGCCAUACGAGAUGAGACGAUAAAAAUCCUGAAAGAUUACAAAGUCUUACUCCAAGGGGAACUGUUCAAGAAGGAGUACUUCAUCCGAGAGGUCACCAGUGUGAAAAAAGAAGAAUCACUUGAAGCCACUUAGAUGUGAAGCAGUCCAAAGUGGAUAUUUCCGAUCACUCAGCUGAUGAUUCAGAUGUUCAUGACACCUCUGCCCUUUCUGACUCUUCGAUGGAUUCAACUCCCAAGAGAGGCCCAGUGAAACAGAAGAGACCUGCUCCGAAACACUCACACACAGUACACAAACAGAAUGGAAGGAAGUCACACUCAAAGACGCCCAAUUAGAUUCAAGUGACAAAUAAUGAAAAACACAAGAAGCAUCAUUGCCAGGUACAAGUUGGCUCUUCAAGGCUUCAAAAAUGGAAACUCUAUGAGGCCCGCCUUUGAGACUGUUGGACCGGACCGGACCGGGAUUGCCCUUAAAGCUUCAGUUGCCGAGCUGCAUCUGGCAGCGCCAGACAUUCGUAGCCCUUUCCUGCAGUCAAGUGACCUAGUGGCCUCAUGGGUGGAAUGUUAUUCAUAUUUUUCAUAAUUUCAUAUUUAAUUACCAU